rnacentral:lncRNA from 1 species
UCUCUCAACAUAUCAUGUUGUAGCUAGUCCUCACAGCUCCCACUCUCUCAACAUAUAUGCAUGUGUAUAUCUAGUCCUCAUAGCUCCACUCUCUCAACAAUAUCAUGUUGUAUAUCUAGUCCUCACAGCUCCACUCUCUCAACAAUAUCAUGUGUAUAUCUAGUCCUCACAGCUCCACUCUCUCAACAAUAUCAUGUUGUAUCUAGUCCUCACAGCUCCACUCUCUCAACAAUACAUGUGUGUAUCUAGUCCUCACCACAGCUCCACUCUCUCAACAAUAUCAUGUUGUAGCUAGUCCCACAGCUCCACUCUCUCAACAAUAUCAUGUUGUAUCUAGUCCUCACAGCUCCACUCUCUCAACAAUAUCAUGUGUGUAUCUAGUCCCAUAGCUCCACUCUCUCAACAAUAUCAUGUUGUAGCUCCUCAUAGCUCACCCUCUCAACAAUACAUGUUGUAUCUAGUCCUCACAGCUCCACUCAUUUCCAUCAGCUGCUAGAUAAAAUAAUCUGUGGUAAAUCACUACUAAAUUGCGCUGUCAUAGUAUGAUAUAAUAUGUCAUAACACACUAUGAUGGUUAGUGAUUACCCACGUUUCAUAGCAGGUAUGCUGACAGGUGUUAAUGGCGUCUUUUACCAACACUAGGAAGACUACGGUAGUGCACGUGAAGUAUAAACCAUUGCUUGAUCUGUUCAUGACUUGUGGCCAAGCCGCUAGCCAAAUGUCGCUUCUCUGUCUGCCAUACGUGUGUUUCCAUGGCGAGAUGGCAGAGAUGUGACAUAGUCAUGCCAAAGUGUUACAGGAUUCUCCUGGCCAAUCAAAAGGCUCACAUUUUAGUGCUCUGAGAAAGAUUAAACCUGAUUGGGGUGGUUGUCACUAGUUACCACAGUACGUUGUAGGGAGCAGUCUGAUAUGUAAAUGAAUAGGGUACAUCCAGAUGGCACCCA